UACGUGAAAAAAGUGCGUGCAGAGUUUUGGAUUCGAUUUAUUAAAAUUUAAACAAUUAUGUUAUAUGCAACAAGCAAUACGCACUCUUACCGCUUAUUAUUAGAUAACCAAUCUUAAACUAUUUAGAACACCAACACUUUUAGAUAAAAACAGUUUCAGAGUUUUUCAGAGCACAAGCUGUGAACAAGUAGGUAGAUCAUAGGACCUACCUAAACUAGAUAAUGAAAAAGUAGAGUUACAUUGUUCGUUCAUCAAUAAUUUUCUUUACAGGUAAUUGUUACGGUAGUAAAACGGAUCCCAAAUUGAUAUCUGUAGAAAUAAUAAAAGAAAUACAAUGCGUAAUUCAUUAGGUCGUAAAUUUAAUUGAGGUGGGAAGUAGAGACAUUAAUUACCGUUAUCCUUUCUUUUGAUUACCAAACGGAAGUAUCGUGAUAGUGUUGCCUGUUAAUAUAUUAACGUGGUGUUUUGGUGAAAUUGCAAUUUGCAUUUGCAUUGUCUCUGGUGUCUAUUUAACGUGCAACGUUGUCAAAUUUUCCCGCCAAUGGAUAACAGAAUCGUGUUUUUGUUUUUAUUUUUAAUCUACAUUGGAGUAAGCGCGAAGCAGGAGCCGUGGACCGACUGGUCGGAGAAGCAAUGUCCCUGUACUGCAGAAUACGAGCCGAUUUGCGGAAACGACAUGCGACGGUAUAGGAACUUGUGUACCUACGAAUGUCGGCUAAACCACCUCUAUUCUAAUAACCAACGUCUGAUAAAAUCAGUCGAUUGUAAAUUAUUACCGCCAUCUACACCUCAUUAAAUAUUGUAAUUUUCUAUACAAUAAAGUAUUUAAAUAUA